rnacentral:rRNA from 1 species
AGUAGGGAUCUUGCACAAUGGGGGAAACCCUGAUGCAGCGAUGCCGCGUGAGUGAAGAAGGCCUUUGGGUUGUAAAGCUCUUUCGUCGGGGAAGAAAAUGACUGUACCCGAAUAAGAAGGUCCGGCUAACUUCGUGCCAGCAGCCGCGGUAAUACGAAGGGACCUAGCGUAGUUCGGAAUUACUGGGCUUAAAGAGUUCGUAGGUGGUUAAAAAAGUUGGUGGUGAAAUCCCAGAGCUUAACUCUGGAACUGCCAUCAAAACUUUUUAGCUAGAGUAUGAUAGAGGAAAGCAGAAUUUCUAGUGUAGAGGUGAAAUUCGUAGAUAUUAGAAAGAAUACCAAUUGCGAAGGCAGCUUUCUGGAUCAUUACUGACACUGAGGAACGAAAGCAUGGGUAGCGAAGAGGAUUAGAUACCCUCGUAGUCCAUGCCGUAAACGAUGUGUGUUAGACGUUGGAAAUUUAUUUUCUGUGUCGCAGCGAAAGCAAUAAACACACCGCCUGGGGAGUACGACCGCAAGGUUAAAACUCAAAUGAAUUGACGGGGACCCGCACAAGUAGUGGAGCAUGUGGUUUAAUUCGAAGAUACGCGCAGAACCUUACCAACACUUGACAUGUUCGUCGCGACUUUAAGAGAUUAAAGUUUUCGGUUCGGCCGGACGAAACACAGGUGCUGCAUGGCUGUCGUCAGCUCGUGUCGUGAGAUGUUGGGUUAAGUCCCGCAACGAGCGCAACCCUCACUUUUAGUUGCCAUCAUUUAGUUGGGCACUCUGAAAGAACUGCCAGUGAUAAGCUGGAGGAAGGUGGGGAUGACGUCAAGUCCUCAUGGCCCUUACGUGUUGGGCUACACAC